rnacentral:rRNA from 1 species
GACGAACCGAGCGAACGUUAUUCGGAAUCACUGGGCUUAAAGGGUGCGCAGGCGGAUAUGUAAGUCAGUGGUGAAAUCUCUGGGCUUAACCCGGAAAUUGCCAUUGAUACUAUAUAUCUUGAAUGCUGUGGAGGUAAGCGGAAUAUGUCAUGUAGCGGUGAAAUGCUUAGAGAUGACAUAGAACACCUAUUGCGAAGGCAGCUUACUACGCAGAUAUUGACGCUCAUGCACGAAAGCGUGGGGAUCAAACAGG